rnacentral:rRNA from 1 species
UAACUGAAGAGUUUGAUCCUGGCUCAGAUUGAACGCUGGCGGCAUGCCUAACACAUGCAAGUCGAACGGCAGCACAGUGGAGCUUGCUCCAUGGGUGGCGAGUGGCGGACGGGUGAGGAA